UACAGAGGGUGCAAGCGUUGUUCGGAAUUAUUGGGCGUAAAGCGCGUGUAGGCGGCUUUGCAAGUCGGGUGUGAAAGCCCUCAGCUUAACUGAGGAAGUGCGCCCGAAACUGCAGAGCUUGAAUACCGGAGAGGAUGGCGGAAUUCCCCAAGUAGAGGUGAAAUUCGUAGAUAUGGGGAGGAACACCGGUGGCGAAGGCGGCAUCCUGGACCGGCAUUGACGCUGAGGCGCGAAAGCCAGGGGAGCAAACGGG
rnacentral:rRNA from 1 species